rfam:Triticum aestivum genome assembly, contig: Triticum_aestivum_CS42_TGACv1_scaffold_289483_4AL
AUAGUAGUCCCUCCGUCCGGAAAUAUUUGUCGGAGAAAUGGAUGUAUCUAGACAUAUUUUAGUUCUAAAUACAUUCCUUUUUAUCCAUUCCACCAACAAGUAUUUCUCGAAGCACGAAGUACAUG